GUGAUGGAACAUUUUGCUUUUAAAAUAUAUACAGAUAAAAAUUAUUAAAAAUCAAAUUUAAAGAAUAGUUGUUACAGAAGCAAACGAAUAGCUGUCUUUUCAACUCCAAGUCUGAGUCAAAAGUGAAGUCUUUUUGUAUCUUCUAUCCCUACAAAAAGACCUUCCUUCCCCUUUGUUAACCCUUUCCACAAAUGAAAUUAAUGAGUGGUCCUUUUGAAAAAUGGAUUCUAGACCUCACCUGUGACUUGGUGUGACUUACUUACACACUGCUUCUUUGUAAAGUGUUGGUUUCAGUUUCUGUGGGGAUGAGACAUUUUGCUUUUAAUAUAGACUAUAUACAGAUUUCCUUUGUUCCUCAGAACAGAACUCAAAGUGGAUAGUUUCUAAAUUAAUUGAUCUGGAAGAGAGGAUUAAACAGAGCACAGCUGGCAACACAUCUUCAUGGUAUCAUGAGAUGCAGAACUAGAUCGCCAGUUGGCAGAAGCCGGACGAGCAUCCGAAGCCUGAACAAGACCUGGAGUUUGCCUCUUCAAGCGUUGUUUCUGCUCCAGAAGCUGCCGCUGAAAUCAGGCAAAAGUUUCUACUUUUAAUUUGCCAAAAUGUUUAAAGAAAGCUCGUGAGAUUGUUCGAAAAGUAAACAAGAGAGUCGCCAUCUUAACUCCGAACUUUGAACCUUUCAGCGCCAUCCUACGACGUUCGCCGGUUCGACCAUAAUGGGAAUAUGAUGAACUCUGGGUUCACGAGACUGUUCGGAAUUAAUGGAAGGACCACUUCCCUGAGAACUAGCUUGUCCAUCUGAACAGUCUGAACUACUAUUUUUUGAAGACUUCUCGUGCACUA